UAUAAGGUUGUCAUUCUAAGACGGUUUUGUAAAAACUGCCUUAGAAGACUUUUCGCUGUUUUUAAUUAAUAUUUAAUCUGCGACUCCUUGUCUUCCACUCCUCCUUUUUGCUCUCUGAGUCUUAGUCUCCCCCUCUCCCUCUUCGACUCUUCUCUAGGUUUUCCAAAAUGGAGUAGUUGUGCCAACCACUACCACUUCCACCCGACGACGGUGGCGACAGACGCUACUAGUCGACAAAACCAUUUCCGCUAAGGACUAAGACGGCGCGGUGGCGAAGGUAGCCCUUCAGACUUGCUCUUCCUACCUGGUGAUGCUUCUGCUGUCUUCUAGCUUCUUCUUAACUUUUUCUUUCCUUUUUUUUUUUUACUACUUUUAAGCUACCUAGUUUUCAAAAUAGUAAAAACAAAGACAACGUUACUUUCUUCAUUAGCACAAAACCCUUAAGCCGUUAGGCACCUUCAACGCCGCCGUAGUUUGUUAUUGGUUUAAUUUGAUGGAGAUGGAGGGUGAGAAAAAACACAAGUUUGAUGUGGACCUCAGCAACCUCAUGGCUUUCAACUCCUAUGACACCUUCCUUUCUCAACCAUUUCUUUCUAGGUACCUUCUUCUUCUUCUUAUUCUUUUUGUUUUUUGACACUGCCCUUACUCAAGUUAAUUGAACACAAGGAGGACCUCAUUAAGCAGUGUUUACUGAAAGGCACUCACUUGGUUCAAGCUAUCGCAGAUGCCCUCUUUAUCUUACCAUCAACCGAAGAUUUGGAUGGAACCCUUGUCACCUUGCCUCCCUCACUCACUAAAUUGCUCAGAGAAAAACAUAGCUCCAAUAUUUGCUGAAGAGGCAUUGGAAGGCAGGAGGGAGACGGUGAGGCUGUACAGCGUGGACCAAGUUCUGGUGGUGUGCAAAGAAGAUGAUAAGUUACCUUCCUCACCGCGGAAGGCAUUAUUUGAGGGCGUUGGUAAUCAAUGAAAUCUUAGGUUGACCUUUUAGUAGAUGAUUUUAAUUUCAUAUUAAUAGCUCUGUGCCCAUAUGAAAAGAAAUUUUAAACUGAAUUGCUUGUAAACUUUGAAACAACGAUGAAUUUUCUAGUUAGAUUGAUUAAUGUUAUAUAUUGAAAUUUUGACAUGAAUAUUAUUUUGGUUUCCUCUUAUGUUGCAUGAUGUUUCUACUAUGAUCAAUGUGAAGAACAGAGGAUCCCUGAAUAAAAAACAACAUUACAGCUUUAUUAUUCUCCUUCCCUCGUAUGAUAUCAUGUCAGCAUUGGAAAACAAAAUAAUAAUUACCGAAACAAGGAGAGGCCCUGCUCUUUGAAGUUUGAAG